rnacentral:rRNA from 1 species
AUACGGAGGGGGUUAGCGUUGUUCGGAAUUACUGGGCGUAAAGCGCACGUAGGCGGACUGGAAAGUUGGGGGUGAAAUCCCGGGGCUCAACCCCGGAACUGCCUCCAAAACUUCCAAUCUAGAGAUCGAGAGAGGUAAGUGGAAUUCCUAGUGUAGAGGUGAAAUUCGUAGAUAUUAGGAGGAACACCAGUGGCGAAGGCGGCUUACUGGCUCGAUACUGACGCUGAGGUGCGAAAGCGUGGGGAGCAAACAGGAUUAGAAACCCUUGUAGUCC